AUUGAACGCUGGCGGCAUGCCUUACACAUGCAAGUCGAACGGUAACGGGUCCUUCGGGAUGCCGACGAGUGGCGAACGGGUGAGUAAUAUAUCGGAACGUGCCCAGUAGUGGGGGAUAACUGCUCGAAAGAGCAGCUAAUACCGCAUACGACCUGAGGGUGAAAGGGGGGGAUCGCAAGACCUUCCGCUAUUGGAGCGGCCGAUAUCAGAUUAGCUAGUCGGUGGGGUAAAGGCCUACCAAGGCAACGAUCUGUAGUUGGUCUGAGAGGACGACCAGCCACACUGGGACUGAGACACGGCCCAGACUCCUACGGGAGGCAGCAGUGGGGAAUUUUGGACAAUGGGCGCAAGCCUGAUCCAGCAAUGCCGCGUGCAGGAAGAAGGCCUUCGGGUUGUAAACUGCUUAUGUCAGGGAAGAAAUCUUCUGGGCUAAUACCCCGGGAGGAUGACGGUACCCGAAGAAUAAGCACCGGCUAACUACGUGCCAGCAGCCGCCGUAA
rnacentral:rRNA from 1 species